AAAAGAUUUAGUUAAUUAAUAACAUAAAAAUGUCAAAUUUAAAUUAGAUUUUGUCUAAUCUUUU
rnacentral:tRNA from 1 species